rnacentral:rRNA from 1 species
GACGAACGCUGGCGGCGUGCUUAACACAUGCAAGUCGAACGGAAAGGCCCUGCUUUUGUGGGGUGCUCGAGUGGCGAACGGGUGAGUAACACGUGAGUAACCUGCCCUUGACUUUGGGAUAACUUCAGGAAACUGGGGCUAAUAUCGGAUAGGAGCUCCUGCUGCAUGGUGGGGGUUGGAAAGUUUCGGCGGUUGGGGAUGGACUCGCGGCUUAUCAGCUUGUUGGUGGGGUAGUGGCUUACCAAGGCUUUGACGGGUAGCCGGCCUGAGAGGGUGACCGGCCACAUUGGGACUGAGAUACGGACCAGACUCCUACGGUAGGCAGCAGUGGGGAAUAUUGCACAAUGGGCGGAAGCCUGAUGCAGCAACGCCGCGUGCGGGAUGACGGCCUUCGGGUUGUAAACCGCUUUCGCCUGUGACGAAGCGUGAGUGACGGUAAUGGGUAAAGAAGCACCGGCUAACUACGUG